rnacentral:sRNA from 1 species
AGGGAAGAGGAGGCCAGAGAAGGGCGAAACCUGCAACGUGGCGGGGUCUAAGGAAGGUCGGAGCUCGGGGGAAUACGCAGGUUUUGGAAGAAGGCGGGAGCUGACGAAGAGGCGGGGCACCGGGAAAAGAGGCGCUCCCCAGAGAGGGCGGGGUUUGGGCAGGGACAAUCCUAUCCGGAGGGGACACAGACCCCUGGCAUGUGCUAAGUGUAACACAGGCUUUAGGAUCCUCAGAAUCAACUCUUCUUAUCCGCACUGGCUCCCACUGCUUGGACAUGGCACCUGAGAGGCCCUCAGACUCCCCCAGCCUCCGCCUAGGGCGCCAGAACAUCUUCCAGCAGCUACAGACCUGGCUCAAGCUGGCAAAGGAGAGCCAGAUUAAGGGUGAAGUCUGAAUCUCAUACCCUUUCCACUCCCUGCAUGGUCACCUCAGUCCUGGACAUACUUGUUCACUGAACAAAAGAAAGCAGCUUGUUUUGAAAGAAGAAACUCCCAGGAAUUGGAAUUCAGCACCUGUUCCGCACGUAAUUGGCAUGUGUCUGCAAACAUCCUUAUUCCCAACUUAAAGUGCUUUAUUGCAGAGAGUUAUGGAAAUAUAAGUGGAUGAUUAUUCUCAUUGUAAAUAUUGGUAUUUUGAAUGUUAAAUUUCAAACAAAUGUGACUUAUGCUGGUGCCCUCGCCCUGCUGAUCAGAUUCUGGUUCAAAUUCUGCCACUCCAGCUCCUGGGUUAGGG